GGGUUGUGAGGUUAAGCGACUAAGCGUACACGGUGGAUGCCCUGGCAGUCAGAGGCGAUGAAGGGCGUGCUAAUCUGCGAUAAGCGCCGGUAAGGUGAUAUGAACCGUUAUAACCGGCGAUACCCGAAUGGGGAAACCCAGUGUGAUUCGUCACACUAUCAUUAACUGAAUCCAUAGGUUAAUGAGGCGAACCGGGGGAACUGAAACAUCUAAGUACCCCGAGGAAAAGAAAUCAACCGAGAUUCCCCCAGUAGCGGCGAGCGAACGGGGAGGAGCCCAGAGCCUGAAUCAGCAUGUGUGUUAGUGGAAGCGUCUGGAAAGGCGCGCGAUACAGGGUGACAGCCCCGUACACAAAAGCGCAUGUGCUGUGAGCUCGAUGAGUAGGGCGGGACACGUGGUAUCCUGUCUGAAUAUGGGGGGACCAUCCUCCAAGGCUAAAUACUCCUGACUGACCGAUAGUGAACCAGUACCGUGAGGGAAAGGCGAAAAGAACCCCGGCGAGGGGAGUGAAAAAGAACCUGAAACCGUGUACGUACAAGCAGUGGGAGCACGGUUACCUGUGUGACUGCGUACCUUUUGUAUAAUGGGUCAGCGACUUAUAUUCUGUAGCAAGGUUAACCGAAUAGGGGAGCCGGAGGGAAACCGAGUCUUAACCGGGCGUUAAGUUGCAGGGUAUAGACCCGAAACCCGGUGAUCUAGCCAUGGGCAGGUUGAAGGUUGGGUAACACUAACUGGAGGACCGAACCGACUAAUGUUGAAAAAUUAGCGGAUGACCUGUGGCUGGGGGUGAAAGGCCAAUCAAACCGGGAGAUAGCUGGUUCUCCCCGAAAGCUAUUUAGGUAGCGCCUCGUGAAUUCAUCUCCGGGGGUAGAGCACUGUUUCGGCUAGGGGGCCAUCCCGGCUUACCAACCCGAUGCAAACUGCGAAUACCGGAGAAUGUUAUCACGGGAGACACACGGCGGGUGCUAACGUCCGUCGUGAAGAGGGAAACAACCCAGACCGCCAGCUAAGGUCCCAAAGUCAUGGUUAAGUGGGAAACGAUGUGGGAAGGCCCAGACAGCCAGGAUGUUGGCUUAGAAGCAGCCAUCAUUUAAAGAAAGCGUAAUAGCUCACUGGUCGAGUCGGCCUGCGCGGAAGAUGUAACGGGGCUAAACCAUGCACCGAAGCUGCGGCAGCGAACGUAUCACUUAAAGCGAUUCAGCGGGUUACGAUUGACGGAGCGAAGCGACGUCAAAGCGUAUACAAAGUCGAGUCGGUUUAAGGAUACGUUCGUUGGGUAGGGGAGCGUUCUGUAAGCCUGUGAAGGUGUGUCGUGAGGCAUGCUGGAGGUAUCAGAAGUGCGAAUGCUGACAUAAGUAACGAUAAAGCGGGUGAAAAGCCCGCUCGCCGGAAGACCAA
rnacentral:rRNA from 1 species